UAUUCGGAGAAAAUGGAGGGAGGUAAGAUAGAGAUGGGCUGGUUACGUGACACAUUCCCUGAUCUGGAUGAAGAUUCAACCGAAAUUGAAAGAAUCUGAUAUGUUCGGGCAUACAUUCUUCAAUUAAUUGGAGGUUAUCUGAUGCCCGACACGUCACGGAGCCGCGUACAUCUAAGAUGGCUGCUAAAACUCAUUGAUUUUAGAGCAGUCGGUGAAUUGAGUUGGGGGUCUGCAGUCUUGGCAACGUUAUAUCGGGAGAUGUGCGGGGCGACGCGACCGAGGAGAACAAAAAUCAGAGGUUGCCUGUCACUACUGCAGUCGUGGGCAUGAUUUCGCUUUCCAUUUCUACGUCCUCGAGUGGACCACCCAUAUACAUUCCCACUCAUAACGAGGUGGAACCAUCCGGCAAGUCAUGCUCGAUUACCAUCCUCUCUUGAAGAUAUACGACUUUUAUUGGACCAACGGUCGAAAGCACAAUUUCAAUGAACACCAUACGAGGAUCCGGCAAUUCGGGCAGUAAUCCCGGAAGAGUUCUUACAAAAUCCACAAGCUUGGCACGUGAAAGUCGUGUUGAUCAACUAUGCAACUGUGGAGCUGCACCAGACAGGCAGAGUGCUACGACAGUUUGGAUGUAGACAACUGAUUCCUGUGGAUCCUGAGGUGUUUAACGAUCAACACAGAGUCGACCUUCGACAAUUGAAUACGGAUUGGACGAGAUACUGGUCCGAGUAAAUGGAAAUGUGAGAAGAUCGAUAUGAAUAUAUACCUACUCGGGAACCAAUCAUCUUUCCGGAGUUAGCAUGCGUUCCAGAAUACAUGCCAUGGUUUAAGAUCCAUGGCAAGCCGCAUUUACUGACGCCAGAGGAGAGGCAGUGGAAAAUACGUGUCGAAAGGGAAAGGCGCGGGCCUCUAAAUUUAAGAUGACAAGACGACGAAGGCAGUCCCUCAACGAGGCCCAGACAUUCACCCGGCUCAUCAUCAGCGGCCAUGCAAUCACCAGGCCCAACGAAAGCACCGACACAGUCACCCGACGCAGCAGUUCAAUCGAUAAUACCCACGCAACCGCCUUUUUAGAUGAUGCCAGGUGCGUUUCCUAGCCCUUAUAUGUAUCCUAACCCUUAUAUGUACCCUUUUUCGAGUCUUAUGGCAGGUUGGAGCCAAAUGCCUGGUUCAGCUCCAUUUCCUGUUAUGCCCAGUGGACCGCCGAUGUAUAGGCCAACAGCGCACGAGGGAUCGCAAAAGGGGCUGUCGGGGAGCUCUCCUUUUUACCAAUCCCCACCAACGUAUGGGUUUCAAACAUCGUCGCCGUUCAUUAUGCAAACACCUCCAGAUACAUUAUUAUUUGAAGGUGGAUCAUCGUUCCAAGUCCGACAACCAGAUGCCGUACCGGAAGAACCAGAAUCCCCGCCGGAGGAACAACAACCGCCGCCGGAAGCUAGAGAAAGAAGG